GACGAACGCUGGCGGCGCGCCUAACACAUGCAAGUCGAACGAGAGAUGAGGAGCUUGCUCUUCAAAUCGAGUGGCGAACGGGUGAGUAACGCGUGAGGAACCUGCCUCAAAGAGGGGGGACAACAGUUGGAAACGACUGCUAAUACCGCAUAAGCCCACGGCUCGGCAUCGAGCAGAGGGAAAAGGAGCAAUCCGCUUUGAGAUGGCCUCGCGUCCGAUUAGCUAGUUGGUGAGGUAAUGGCCCACCAAGGCAACGAUCGGUAGCCGGACUGAGAGGUUGAACGGCCACAUUGGGACUGAGACACGGCCCAGACUCCUACGGGAGGCAGCAGUGGGGAAUAUUGCACAAUGGGGGAAACCCUGAUGCAGCGACGCCGCGUGGAGGAAGAAGGUCUUCGGAUUGUAAACUCCUGUUGUUGGGGAAGAUAAUGACGGUACCCAACAAGGAAGUGACGGCUAACUACGUG
rnacentral:rRNA from 1 species